AUGUCUGCGGUUUGUUUUGGGAGAAGGCUUCAGGUUUUGAGGAAUCACUCAAUUUACAAAAAGCUGACAAAUGCACAGCGUUCUGGGAUUAAUCAAAUCCCCAACAGAAGAUUUACCCUCUGGUGGUCGCCAGCCAUUAAUCGUGCAAACGUAUAUGUUGGUUUCCACUUUCCAGGUUCAGUGAGAAUAUUAACUGGUUCCCCCGCCCGGGUCAAAGCCCCUCCUCCAGCAAGCAAUGAGCAAGAUCAUGAAGUCAAAUCCUGCUCUGUAUGUGCUGUGGGAGAGAAUAAGAAAGGGUCUUCAGUUGUAUUCAUCUGA
rnacentral:rRNA from 1 species